rnacentral:tRNA from 1 species
GCCUGGGUGGCUCAGUCGGUUGAGCGUCCGACUUCAGCUCCGUUCGUGAUCUCACAGUUCGUGGGUUUGAGCCCCGCGUCGGGUU